GACGAACGCUGGCGGCGUGCCUAACACAUGCAAGUCGAACGGGGGUAAUUUCCUUCGGGAGAUUACUUAGUGGCGAACGGGUGAGUAACGCGUGAGAAACCUGCCUCUCAGUGGGGGACAACAGUUGGAAACGACUGCUAAUACCGCAUAAGCGCACAGUGUCGCAUGACACCGUGUGAAAAACUCCGGUGGUACAGGAUGGACCCGCGUCUGAUUAGCUAGUUGGUGAGGUAAACGGGCCCACCAAGGCGACGAUCAGUAGCCGGCUUGAGAGAGUGAACGGCCACAUUGGGACUGAGACACGGCCCAAACUCCUACGGGAGGCAGCAGUGGGGAAUAUUGCACAAUGGGGGAAACCCUGAUGCAGCAACGCCGCGUGAGUGAAGAAGUAUUUCGGUAUGUAAAGCUCUAUCAGCAGGGAAGAAAAUGACGGUACCUGACUAAGAAGCCCCGGCUAACUACGUG
rnacentral:rRNA from 1 species